UUAGAAAAUGGCGAAACAGGAGAAAACCUGCCCGUAGGAAAAAUCCCUCGAGAAAGCAGUUUGUCCGCGUGGGUACUGGGCACUACGCACGCACGCAUCGGCGUACAAUGGCCGCAAGGCAUGUGUACAACGCGCACGACCCAUCCACACGCACGCACGCACGUCCCAUCCACUGCCUUAGUUGGCGCGUCCCCACCGCAGGGGGAGGAAAUUUUCCUCCCUUGUUUUUCGUGCCAAGAAUCUUUUCUCCUCUUUCUUCCCCAAAUUUCACCACUUGGCACAAAUUCAAUGGAUCUGAAAUUCUAUAAAUUUUUCUUCUCCUUCCGUUCCUCUCUACACUUCCAUUUCUUCUAUUUCUCAAAGGUUUAGAGAGAGAGAGAUAGUAAAGUAGUGAGAGAAGAAGAGAAAGAAAGGAAACGGUGAAGAAGAAAACACCAAGGUUUUGUAAGGAAUCUAGUAUUACUUUUGAUGUUUUAAGUAGUAUUUGUGGAUAAAUAAAUUUAAUAUGAUUGUUAUUUUAUCUGUUUUGCAUGCCUCUAUGUUCAAAUGAGUCGAAUUAUUCUGAUUUUUAAGUAUGCUAUGUGAAUUACUAACACUUGAUGAAUUUGUAUGUAAUAUAUAUAAUAUGUAGUCCGUAAUAAAAAAAAAUAAAAAAAAAAGAGAAAAAUAGAAUGAUGCCUUUAUGGUCCGAAAUGUCUCUGUAUCGACAUGCAUAUUGCAUCAAGUGUCUCGUUAGGAUUUUUAUCUCUGAGGGGUAUCUGUUCCCCUUAUCCUUCAGGUUAUCUUUUUCACCCUCCCCUAUCUGGUCUGGAAAGACGUAAGAGGACUGCUCCCAGUGGAUAACAGCAUGCCCUAUGACGAGAGUGGUAUCGCACUAUCUGUAGGAGAUCACACAUUACUGAGUAAUAUCGUGACUAUAGAUAUCUGUUAGGACCACUAUGGUUGGUACGACUGUGGUCAUAGAUCGUAGCAUGGUUUGGCCAGCUGGAAAUGAGCCGAAGCAAAUUGUCGUAUCU
rnacentral:lncRNA from 1 species